rnacentral:rRNA from 2 species
AGUCUGAUGGAGCACGCCGCGUGAGUGAAGAAGGUUUUCGGAUCGUAAAACUCUGUUGUUGGAGAAGAAUGUAUCUGAUAGUAACUGAUCAGGUAGUGACGGUAUCCAACCAGAAAGCCACGGCUAACUACGUGCCAGCAGCCGCGGUAAUACGUAGGUGGCAAGCGUUGUCCGGAUUUAUUGGGCGUAAAGCGAGCGCAGGCGGUUUCUUAAGUCUGAUGUGAAAGCCUUCGGCUCAACCGAAGAAGUGCAUCGGAAACUGGGAAACUUGAGUGCAGAAGAGGACAGUGGAACUCCAUGUGUAGCGGUGAAAUGCGUAGAUAUAUGGAAGAACACCAGUGGCGAAGGCGGCUGUCUGGUCUGUAACUGACGCUGAGGCUCGAAAGCAUGGGUAGCAAACAGGAUUAGAUACCCUGGUAGUCCAUGCCGUAAACGAUGAGUGCUAGGUGUUGGAGGGUUUCCGCCCUUCAGUGCCGCAGCUAACGCAUUAAGCACUCCGCCUGGGGAGUACGACCGCAAGGUUGAAACUCAAAGGAAUUGACGGGGGCCCGCACAAGCGGUGGAGCAUGUGGUUUAAUUCGAAGCAACGCGAAGAACCUUACCAGGUCUUGACAUCCUUUGACCACUCUAGAGAUAGAGCUUUCCCUUCGGGGACAAAGUGACAGGUGGUGCAUGGUUGUCGUCAGCUCGUGUCGUGAGAUGUUGGGUUAAGUCCCGCAACGAGCGCAACCCUUAUUACUAGUUGCCAGCAUUUAGUUGGGCACUCUAGUGAGACUGCCGGGUGACAAACCGGAGGAAGGUGGGGACGACGUCAAAUCAUCAUGCCCCUUAUGACCUGGGCUACACACGUGCUACAAUGGAUGGUACAACGAGUUGCGAGACCGCGAGGUUUAGCUAAUCUCUUAAAACCAUUCUCAGUUCGGAUUGUAUGG